rnacentral:lncRNA from 1 species
UGGCACGAUCUAUGGUGGAUGAAAGAAACUUUGCAUGAUCUGAUGGCUGAUAUCAAUUCUGAAUGAGAUCCAAUGGCUGUUGUUCGUUACUGAUUGAAAAGAAGAGAUUAGGAGCACGAUCCGAUGGCUGAAAUUCAAUCUAUCGCUUAAUCCGAUGGUUGGUGUUCAUCCCGACUGUGAAUAGGAAGUAUUUUGCACCA